AGACCCCCUGGUGAGGACACUUGAACCCGGGCUGUCACCUGAGCACAGGCUGCCACCUCUGAGCUUUUGGGGUGCCCUGUGCCUGUCAGGCUGAUGCUCCUCUGGCUCCCUGCCACCUGGGGCUGACACCGGUUCUGUGGGUCCUGAUAUGUUCACCUGUCGCCACUCCUGUGGCCACAGCUACCCAUGAAGCGCUUUGGGAGCCUCAGGAGCAACAAGAAACACAAGGACCAAAAUCGAAGCACGGAGAGGCGCCAGUCGGAGCCUCAUGGCCUUUUCGGGAGGUGACUUUGGCAAAACUUCUGAAACUGUAAAUGAAAACUGGAAUAGCAGAAAAAGCCUCCGGCCUCUCCUCCUCUCCAUCAACACCCACCCAAGUGACCAAGCAGCACACGUUUCCCCUGGAAUCCUAUAAGCACGAGCCUGAACGGUUAGAGAAUCGCAUCUAUGCCUCGUCUUCCCCUCCGGACACAGGACAGAGGUUCUGCCCGUCUUCCUUCCAGAGCCCGACCAGGCCUCCACUGGCAUCACCAACACACUAUGCUCCCUCCAAAGCCG
rnacentral:sRNA from 1 species